UACGUAGGGUGCAAGCGUUGUCCGGAAUUAUUGGGCGUAAAGAGCGUGUAGGCGGCCCGAUUAGUCCGCUGUGAAAGUCCAGGGCUCAACCCUGGAAUGCCGGUGGAUACUGUCGGGCUAGAGUGCGGAAGAGGCGAGUGGAAUUCCUGGUGUAGCGGUGAAAUGCGCAGAUAUCAGGAGGAACACCAAUUGCGAAGGCAGCUCGCUGGGACGUAACUGACGCUGAGACGCGAAAGCGUGGGGAGCAAACAGG
rnacentral:rRNA from 1 species